CGGACGGGUGAGUAACGCGUGAGAAUCUGGCUCUAGGUCUGGGACAACCACUGGAAACGGUGGCUAAUACCGGAUGUGUCGAGAGGUGAAAGGUUAACUGCCUAGAGAUGAGCUCGCGUCUGAUUAGCUAGUUGGAAGUGUAAUGGACUCCCAAGGCGACGAUCAGUAGCUGGUCUGAGAGGACGAUCAGCCACACUGGGACUGAGACACGGCCCAGACUCCUACGGGAGGCAGCAGUGGGGAAUUUUCCGCAAUGGGCGAAAGCCUGACGGAGCAAUACCGCGUGAGGGAGGAAGGCUCUUGGGUCGUAAACCUCUUUUCUCAGGGAAGAACAAAAUGACGGUACCUGAGGAAUAAGCAUCGGCUAACUCCGUGCCAGCAGCCGCGGUAAUACGGAGGAUGCAAGCGUUAUCCGGAAUGAUUGGGCGUAAAGCGUCCGCAGGUGGCUAUGUAAGUCUGCUGUUAAAGAGUCUAGCUCAACUAGAUAAGAGCAGUGGAAACUACAAGGCUAGAGUACGUUCGGGGCAGAGGGAAUUCCUGGUGUAGCGGUGAAAUGCGUAGAGAUCAGGAAGAACACCGGUGGCGAAGGCGCUCUGCUAGGCCGUAACUGACACUGAGGGACGAAAGCUAGGGGAGCGAAUGGGAUUAGAUACCCCAGUAGUC
rnacentral:rRNA from 1 species